GUAGGGAAUAUUGCACAAUGGGCGAAAGCCUGAUGCAGCAACGCCGCGUGCGCGAUGAAGACCUUCGGGUUGUAAAGCGCUUUUCUGAAGGACGAGGAAGGACGGUACUUCAGGAAUAAGGAUCGGCUAACUACGUGCCAGCAGCCGCGGUAAUACGUAGGAUCCGAGCGUUAUCCGAAUUUACUGGGCGUAAAGCGCGUGCAGGCGGUUUGAUAAGUUGGAUGUGAAAGCUCCCGGCUCAACUGGGAGAGGCCGUUCAAAACUAUCAGACUAGAGGACGGUAGAGGGAGGUAGAAUUCCCGGUGUAGUAGUGAAAUGCGUAGAUAUCGGGAGGAAUACCAGUGGCGAAGGCGGCCUCCUGGACCGUUCCUGACGCUCAGACGCGAAAGCUAGGGGAGCGAACGGGAUUAGAAACCCUAGUAGUCC
rnacentral:rRNA from 1 species